UUUAAAGUUUCAUUAACUCAAAAUCUUUCAGCCCAGUGAUUUUGCGUGUGACGUCAUCCAGGUUCACGUACGUUCUCGUGCUUCAUUCGUUUUUUCAAGAUGGCGGAUCGGCCUCGCUUCACACUACAAAUUGAAGGUCGGUUGUUGCUGACUACAGAAAGAUUCUUAUAUGGAGGCAUGUAAAAGCAAGGAAAGUGAAACUUCAGCUAGAC